rnacentral:rRNA from 1 species
UGGGGAAUUUUGGACAAUGGGCGAAAGCCUGAUCCAGCAAUGCCGCGUGUGUGAAGAAGGCCUUCGGGUUGUAAAGCACUUUUGUCCGGAAAGAAAUGGCUCUGGUUAAUACCUGGGGUCGAUGACGGUACCGGAAGAAUAAGGACCGGCUAACUACGUGCCAGCAGCCGCGGUAAUACGUAGGGUCCAAGCGUUAAUCGGAAUUACUGGGCGUAAAGCGUGCGCAGGCUGUUGUGCAAGACCGAUGUGAAAUCCCCGAGCUUAACUUGGGAAUUGCAUUGGUGACUGCACGGCUAGAGUGUGUCAGAGGGGGGUUAGAAUUCCACGUGUAGCAGUGAAAUGCGUAGAGAUGUGGAGGAAUACCGAUGGCGAAGGCAGCCCCCUGGGAUAACACUGACGCUCAUGCACGAAAGCGUGGGGAGCAAACAGGAUUAGAUACCCUGGUAGUCCACGCCCUAAACGAUGUCAACUAGUUGUUGGGGGAUUCAUUUCCUUAGUAACGUAGCUAACGCGUGAAG